AUUGAACGCUGGCGGCAUGCCUUACACAUGCAAGUCGAACGGCAGCACGGGUGCUUGCACCUGGUGGCGCGUGGCGAACGGGUGAGUAAUACAUCGGAACAUGUCCUGUAGUGGGGGAUAGCCCGGCGAAAGCCGGAUUAAUACCGCCUACGAUCUACGGAUGAAAGCGGGGGCCCUUCGGGCCUCGCGCUAUAGGGUUGGCCGAUGGCUGAUUAGCUAGUUGGUGGGGUAAAGGCCUACCAAGGCGACGAUCAGUAGCUGGUCUGAGAGGACGACCAGCCACACGGGGACUGAGACACGGCCCAGACUCCUACGGGAGGCAGCAGUGGGGAAUUUUGGACAAUGGGCGAAAGCCUGAUCCAGCAAUGCCGCGUGUGUGAAGAAGGCCUUCGGGUUGUAAAGCACUUUUGUCCGGAAAGAAAUCCUUGGCCCUAAUACGGUCGGGGGAUGACGGUACCGGAAGAAUAAGCACCGGCUAACUACGUG
rnacentral:rRNA from 1 species